CUUUCUUUGCUGGCGACCGGCGCACGGGUGAGUAACACGUAUCCAACCUGCCCUUUACUCGGGGAUAGCCUUUCGAAAGAAAGAUUAAUACCCGAUAGCAUAAUGAUUCCGCAUGGUUUCAUUAUUAAAGGAUUCCGGUAAAGGAUGGGGAUGCGUUCCAUUAGGUUGUUGGUGGGGUAACGGCCCACCAAGCCUUCGAUGGAUAGGGGUCUGAGAGGAAGGUCCCCCACAUUGGAACUGAGACACGGUCCAA
rnacentral:rRNA from 1 species